CUGCUUUCGCGGAGGACGCACCGGUAAUUGGAGUCUCGGCUUCGCAAGACAUGCCGGGAAAUGGAGUCCUUAGUCCCUCAUUGGCGAGCAGGCGAGGGCAUACUGGAGUAGUUCGCCAUUUCCUUCUCUAGCUCAUUUUACAGAUGAGGAAACUGAGACAAAGAGGAUUAAGUGACACUCCCAGGUCACACAAGUAGUAAGUGUCAAUACAGAUUUGACCUCUGGAAGAUGAGUCCUCCUGACUCCAGGUCCAGCAUUCUAUCCACAGUGCCAACUCCAUGUCUAUUUUUAAGCUACAAAUGCUGUGUUAUAGGAUAAGAUAAAGAGAAGGGAGUGAGUUUCUUGAACUAUG